UUGUAUGAUGAAAUCUCCAAAAACGUGAAUUUUGAAUUACUUCUCUAUAUCUAUUAUUAAACAUGCGAUAUAUUUGUAUACAUAUGUA